UGUAAUCAAACGGUGGGAGGCGCAGGAAGAGAAAACGAAUCAAAUACUAGUUUAGAUUUCGGUUUCUUUCAUUCGCUAGCUUCCCUGACGCUUCAUGUGCUUUUUUCCUGAGCAUUUGGUACGAUUCAGUACGAUAGACCAGUGAUGCACUUUGAAAGCAAACCAAAGGGUGGUGCGGCCAAUAAAGGGUGAAGCCAUGAGCAUGCUAUGAAUUGUGUAUUUUUUUUAAAUAAACUGUUUCAAUUUAUAUUUUUGGUUUUGGAAUUGGUAAAAAACCUCCUCAUCGAUUUCAGAUAGCUUUACGUGAAAUAAAUCAGGUAAAGCAAUAAAUGUAUAAAUGAAACUGUGAAUGUAGUUACAGUCAACUUUCUUUUAUUUUAGAGUCGCCGAUGGAGCCUUGACUGUUGCUAUAGGAAACUGCAAGCACGAUGGCAAAUUGGAGCAUACAUCAUUCCAUAAGCAUGACAACACUAUACACAAAUAAGAGGGACACAAAUUUCAAAGGUUUUCCAAGCAAGAGGAACAAAAAUGUACUGAAAAUGAAUGGACUGGCAAAAAUGUUUAAACAAGAGGGUAAAAUAUCAAUGUUUUCAUUCAAAAAUAAAUAAAAGCUAUUAUUUGGGACUUUCAAGCCAUUGGAUGUGUCAAUUUUAAGGUGUACGAUUUUGAUUGAAGCACCCUGUGAAAGCUCAGAACCGCGAAUAUUGGUUGAUAGUGCAGCUCAUACUCAAGCACCACAAGCUGCUAUACUUCCGUUUCGUUCAAUCGGAUGGUGCACACAAAAGCAUGAGCCGUGUGGGAAGUUGUCUGUAAAUGGGCGCUAUGAAGGGUGGUGUAAAUUUGCUGUUCGAGAUACGAUCCAUUCAUUUUUUGUAUCAUACAUCUGUACAUCGUGGAGUCGUGUUUUGCAUGCAAUGGCACUGUUCACAGCACAGAUUGCACUGUUACCAUUCGAAACAGUCGGAAAAGAAAAUUGAUCUGUGGGUAGAAAACAUCGCCAGUAGAUAGAGGAACUGAAUCACUCAUCAUCCGUGGAAGCGCUCCUUUUGCGUAGUGCAGUGUUGAAGCACAAUCUUGAAAUGCACUUGCAAAAAGGGAAUGGAAAAAUGAGCCUUAUAUAUGAAUCUAAAUCCAAGGGCUAGCCAUCAUUAUUGAAAAAUGAAUAUUCAUGAACGGUAUCGGAACAUUCGCAUGGAAGCAGAAGCAUGUUUACUACUCUGUCCAUAGGGUAACACUUACCUCCAGCUGGCUCAGCGGUUCGAUGAUUUGCAACGUGAAGUUAUCGAUAUGAUUUCCGGACAGAUUGAGUGCGCUAAGGUGCCGAAAUGGACUGAACAGGUUCAGUGGUAGUGUGCCCAUAUCGGCCACCAUCAGACCGGUGAUGUUUUUUAUAACCUGCAAGUACAAAGGACAGAAAAAAAUAUUAGAUUCAUAUGUGGAAUGGCUACUGGUGCAUAUAUUUGCAAAUUUCGUAAUCGUAAGCAUCCUGCUCAAAGAUCCAGCUGUAUAUUGCCGCUAAUGUUGAGCGUCUGCAGGUUGCGAAGUGGCCGAAAGCAGACCGGCUCGAUGUGGGACAGCUUGUUGUACG